rnacentral:misc_RNA from 1 species
UCUCCGUAGGUGAACCUGCGGAAGGAUCAUUAUCGAAUUUCGAGGGGAAGGAAGAUGAGGAGUGGAGACUGUCGCUGGCUUUCCCGCCUGGGAAGCAUGUGCACGCCUUGCUUUUCGUUGACCUUUCUCUUACUCUCACACCUGUGAACCCAUUGUAGGUCCUCGAAAGAGGAUCUAUGUUUUUAUCAUCACACGCAUCGUAUGUCCAUAGAGUGUAACAUGAUCGUCGAUCGACCUCGCGGUCGGGUGGCGGUCUAAAUAAAUAAAUAUAACUUUCAGCAACGGAUCUCUUGGCUCUC